rnacentral:lncRNA from 1 species
GAACUGUUCCCCCUUGAUUUUGAGGCUUGCGCCGGCAUCUGCAGGCUUCUCGCCCAGUUUGUUCGGUCAGCAGAGACUCCUUUUCCGACUUGUCAAUUCAGGUACAUGACAGGAAAUCCCUGAACAUGUGCCGUUUUGCAGCGUACACCCGGAGCCCGCGUGUUGGCAUGGGCGAGUUUCGCGGCGUCGUGCGUUACCUAGCUAUCUCUCUGCCCGCCUAAUCGAUCACGUGCUUUGAGGCGCGGCGCAGCCUCGUUGAGUGAAUGCGCAGAUGUCAUUUCAUCAUCUUCGCUACAGUUCUUUUCUUUAUUUUCGAUCAGACGCAGCGCCGUUUCAUGUUCCUUCUGUCGAGGAUGGGGGCAACUGUUCGUGCCCGUUCCCGGCGUCGCCCCAGACAGACUUGCGACGCGCCUGCGAAGAAAAGAAUUCGCUUCGCUCCUGUGCCAGCGAGUCCGCUUUCACGAGAGGAACGAAUGGAAUGCUCAAAGAAAAUUCGCCGUCAGAAGAUGCGCCGACGCCUUCUCUGGGCCUGUAAGAAAGCAGGUCUAGGCCACGCGACCGCCGAAGAACUCCUCCAAGUGCUCGACAAGAGAGAGACGUCUCUGGAGAACGGAAACACUCGGACAGGGCGUCGCGGCGAUACCAGUUAAGCCGACCAGAGUUCCAAAAACAGGUCAACGCUUACUCGGUGCUCCAGUGAGCUCUCCAGUUUCUAACUCCACUGGGGCUUAUACCAUAUGCUCUUCCUCUGUAUGCCCUAAUGCGGCUGACGGCGGAUUGCACGAUUGGGAGACCCGUAAGAAGUUGAUUACCGUUUCCGUUCCGCCAGUCCGGAGCCGUCUUGCACAGUCCUGUGCUCUCUCUUCCGACACUGAAGGAUAAAAAGGCGAAGGAAACACGACUAGGAACCCCGCCCUGCGGUGCGUUCGUCAGCGUCGGUGAAGGGGUCGGUGCCAGCAGAUUACUCGCUAAAAAGUGUGGAUGUCCCCCCUGCUCCGCAGACGAGCAGGUCCAGACUCUCAAAAGUCCGGUCGGGGUUUGUCCUUUUUUGGGGCCUCUAGAUCAGUGCAUGAAGGAGACGCCGUCUUUUCCAGGAGACUCGACGCGUCGUUCCGUGGUCGCGUGUUUCCGUAAAAAGAGACAUCCGCGUCGCAUUUCGUCUGCAGGCUAUCCAUUGACAGGGCCUCCUGCACGUUUUUUCAGGCGUAUCUCCACUGAAGCAGCCACGCUGCAGCUAGAAAAGGAACGUGGCAUACACUAGAUGGAGCGAAAAAGCACGAAAUCAAAGGGGAAACGUUCAGUGGCUACGCUAGUGUCUCAGAGGGAACGCUCCGUAGGUAGUUGUACUUCAGAGAGCUUGUGCCUGUCUCGAGGAAAUACGUAUGCGAGAGUCUCCUCUGUUUUCGUCUUCUAGAAGCUGGGUUGAACGGCAACAGAGCAGCAGCGAGAGAGGCGACAAAUCUCGCAGCCCGAGGCUCUUCUAACAAACGUGCUGCUUCAGACAAGCUGUCGGGGCCUCAACUCGAGUGGACUGUGUUUUGAUCUUAUUGUUGCUCUAAUCCAGUCGCCGA